AGGCUGGAAGUUGGGGAGGUGCUUAAGAAGGCAGAAUGGGGAGUGGGACGCACACAAAGGGAGAGAGGGACCGAGGGGCUGAGAAGAAGCUGGGCCACCCCGAGAGGGGACCUGCAGCGCAGCUCCGUGGAGGAUACCCAGGGAGGGACAAGCUAGGUCCCUCUGUCCUGGAGCUCCAUUGUUUAGACCUAAGGGCUGAGAGAAUUUUGUGAGAUGCGGUGGAGCUAUUGCCAAGAGCGGAAAAAAAAUGCCCCUGCGUCUAGAAAACACGUCCUGCAGGAAAUCACGGCUGAACUGCGGCGGACCCAGCGGGCUGUGGCGGUCCACGCAACCCGGGUAAACCGGGAGCCCUCGUCUCCGACUGCCCGGCGAGUACUUUAAAAAGGGGCGAGGGCGGCGGCCGGCGGAAGUGCCGGGUAAAGGGGUGGGGCCGCGAGCGCGCCGGAAGCCGGAAGCCGGAAGCCGAGGCUGGAGCUGCGCGUGGUGAUGUCGGCCAGCGGGGCUGUGGAGCCCGGGCCCCCGGGGGCCGCGGCCGUCCCGGCUGCCCCCUCGCCCACCGCGGCCGGGCCUCCUGCCGCGGGGCACCUGUUCCGGCCCAUCAACGCCGAGGACGAGGAGCAGCAGCCCACCGAGAUCGAGUCGCUGUGCAUGAACUGUUACCGCAACGGCAUGACGCGGCUGCUGCUCACCAAGAUCCCCUUCUUCAGAGAAAUCAUCGUGAGCUCCUUCUCCUGCGAGCACUGUGGCUGGGACAACACGGAGAUCCAGUCGGCAGGCAGGAUCCAGGACCAGGGAGUGCGUUAUGCCUUGACCGUCAGAUCUUCGGAGGACAUGAACAGAGAAGUGGUGAAGACUGACUCUGCCACCACAAGGAUCCCUGAGCUGGAUUUUGAAAUCCCUGCCUUCAGCCAGAAGGGAGCUCUGACCACUGUUGAAGGACUGAUCAACCGUGCUAUCUCUGGCCUCGAGCAGGACCAGCCCACACGAAGGGCGAAUGAAGAUGCCAUAGCUGAAAGAAUUGAUGAGUUCAUCUUCAGACUGAAAGAACUAAAACUAAUGGACUCUCCUUUCACUCUGAUCAUCGAUGAUCCUUCAGGGAACAGCUUUGUGGAAAACCCACAUGCCCCUCAGAAAGAUGAUGCCCUGGUGAUCACACACUACAGCCGCACCCCAGAGCAGGAGCAGAUGCUGGGGCUCCAGGCAGAAGCACCAGAGGAGAAGCCCGAAGAGGAAGAUCUCAGAAAUGAAGUGCUGCAGUUCAACACAAACUGCCCAGAAUGCAAUGCCCCAGCUCAGACUAACAUGAAGCUAGUACAAAUCCCCCACUUUAAGGAAGUUAUCAUCAUGGCCACCAACUGCGAGAACUGUGGACAUCGGACCAAUGAGGUGAAGUCUGGAGGAGCAGUGGAGCCGUUGGGCACCAAGAUCACCCUUCACAUCACAGAGCCCUCAGAUAUGACCAGAGACCUCCUCAAGUCUGAGACAUGUAGCGUGGAAAUCCCGGAGCUAGAGUUUGAGCUGGGAAUGGCUGUCCUGGGGGGCAAGUUCACCACACUGGAGGGGCUGCUGAAAGACAUCCGGGAACUGUUCCAAUCCUGGCCAGGUGGAGAAGCUGCAGGAGUUUAGCCGGAAGCUGGACCAGAUCGUGGCAGGUCACCUGAAGGCCCACUUCAUUAUGAAUGAUCCGGCGGGAAACAGUUACUUGCAGAACGUGUAUGCGCCUGAAGAUGAUCCUGAGAUGAAGGUGGAGCACUAUAAGCGCACUUUUGACCAAAACGAAGAGCUAGGGCU